GACGAACGCUGGCGGCGUGCUUAACACAUGCAAGUCGAACGGAAAGGCCCUGCUUUUGUGGGGUGCUCGAGUGGCGAACGGGUGAGUAACACGUGAGUAACCUGCCCUUGACUUUGGGAUAACUUCAGGAAACUGGGGCUAAUACCGGAUAGGAGCUCCUGCUGCAUGGUGGGGGUUGGAAAGUUUCGGCGGUUGGGGAUGGACUCGCGGCUUAUCAGCUUGUUGGUGGGGUAGUGGCUUACCAAGGCUUUGACGGGUAGCCGGCCUGAGAGGGUGACCGGCCACAUUGGGACUGAGAUACGGCCCAGACUCCUACGGGAGGCAGCAGUGGGGAAUAUUGCACAAUGGGCGGAAGCGUGAUGCAGCAACGCCGCGUGCGGGAUGACGGCCUUCGGGUUGUAAACCGCUUUCGCCUGUGACGAAGCGUGAGUGACGGUAAUGGGGAAAGAAGCACCGGCUAACUACGU
rnacentral:rRNA from 1 species